CGUCGACUUGAGCUUCCUCAAAUUCAGCAGUUACAAACUCUUCUGUUCAAUCCUAAGGUUCUGACAUAAAUGCACGAAACUGAUUUGGUGCGGUAGUAACUCGAUAAUUAUAUCCUUAAACCUCCACAGUUCUCUGUCUUUGGUUCAGUUGAUUCUGGAUGGAUUUAGCAUUGAUACAAUUCACUGUGUAAUUGUAUAUCCCUGAAUCACUGAGUUAGAUUGAAAUCCCUUGAAGAUUCUUCUGCAAAAACUUCUCUUUUCCUACUACCAGUGGUGCCAUUCAAAGUUGACAUUCCGAGCCCUGGAAAGAUGCUUCAUUGUAGAUGUAGCAAAUUCCCAUCCUGAUCUGGUGAUCUGAUAAUCAAGUCGGAGUAAUUACUCAGAUCAAGGCCUGAAGUACCUUCUUCAAAAUCCACUUUUAGUAGUACCAAAUUAGUCUUCAAUAGAAUCUUCUUCGAAUCACAAUCAGCUUUGUCG
rnacentral:lncRNA from 1 species